ACGAACGCUGGCGGCGUGCCUAAUACAUGCAAGUCGAACGGUCUUUCUAUGGGAGCUUGCUUCCACUGAGAAGAUAGUGGCGAACGGGUGAGUAACACGUGGGUAACCUGCCCAUAAGAGGGGGAUAACAUCCGGAAACGGGUGCUAAUACCGCAUAGUUUUCUUGAUUGCAUGAUUGAGAAAGGAAAGACGGCCUUUGUGCUGUCGCUUAUGGAUGGACCCGCGGCGUAUUAGUUAGUUGGUGAGGUAACGGCUCACCAAGACGAUGAUACGUAGCCGACCUGAGAGGGUGAUCGGCCACAUUGGGACUGAGACACGGCCCAAACUCCUACGGGAGGCAGCAGUAGGGAAUCUUCCGCAAUGGACGAAAGUCUGACGGAGCAACGCCGCGUGAGUGAAGAAAGGUUUUCGGAUCGUAAAACUCUGUUGUCAGAGAAGAACAAGUUGGAGAGUAACUGCUCCAGCCUUGACGGUAUCUGACCAGAAAGCCACGGCUAACUACGUGCCAGCCGCUGC
rnacentral:rRNA from 1 species